CACACACACACCCCCUGGCGUCCACAGCAUGUGGUUUUGAUUAACUGGUUAAUCCUACAGGUGAAAUGAUUUUCCUGAAAGUGGUUUGAUUAAUUUCUGAUAUGUUUAUCCAAGUGUAUAUUCAUGUCACUUGUCAUAGCAAGUCCUGAUCCCAUGCCCUGCCAGCAGCUGGGGAGGGAAGCCCAAGUGUUUCUCUGGGUAUGUCUACACUGCAAUCUGAGGUGUGAUUGCCCCUCAGGUAGACGUAACUGUGCUAGCAUGGGUAAAAAUAGCAAUGUAGAUGCAGCAGCAUGGGCUUCAGGAAUGCACAUAGGUACCCUGGUGUGUUUGUACUGCCGUAUCUACAUUGCUAUCUUUAGCCAUGUCAGCCUGAGCUGCAGUCACGCCUCAGAUUGCAGUGGAGAGGUACCCUUGGUCAGUGCACUUUAUUGUCCUUGCACUAGGGCUUUCUGUUCUCUCUCUUCAGCCUUGGUAUGUCCUUCCUCACAGCUGUACACCUGGAUCUUCUGUCCAGACAGAUGUGCAUGCAUAUUUGGUAACAUACUUCGUACAUCUCCUCUUGGGGUUGUACCACUUCCCCUGUGCUGCCCUCUAGCACCAUCAUUUCCUGAUAUUUAUAAGUAGUAUUUUAAUAGUAAUUCAAAAUAUGCAAAGCAAAACUAUUUGCUAUUGGUUCAAAAUGCUGCUGUGAGAUUAGAGGAGUGACCUCUCCCUUUGGGGACUGCAGAAGGAAGGGAGCAGACCCUAAUUUAUGCAUAUGGUGAAGGUCCUAAAAUCCUUUUCUCCAGGUCAAUACAAAAUGCGAUUUAAAAUGAUGCAAAAUGCUCUGGACCAUGUCUUGCUCUCAGAAAUGCCUUUGCAAUUUUACGAAUACUAAAAGAAUCAGAAACUAGUACAAGCAAAGUCAGCUGCAAACAGCUGUUAAAUAAACUCGCAGGUCCAAAUGGGCAGGAAACUGAAUCAUACUAGCUAUGCAAGCAAACCACUCAGUGGAACUUUAUUUGGACCAAUGCAGAAUUGCUGAAGCACCUUUCAUACUGCAGUAGAGACCCAGAAGUUCUGCAGGGUGACAUAUAUUUAAAUGUAUGUAGAUUGUUUUUGUACCAUAUGUGGAAUGCUGUUGCAUGAGCCAACAUUAGCAAUGAGUUUUACCUGUUUGCACAUUGGCAGUGCUUUCUCACCCUGCAGUGUUGCAGCUGGUCUCAUCCAUGUGGCAUUCACUAGGGUGCAGUAUUCGUAGCCUGACAGCAGUGAUGCUCACAAGCUGUAUGAACUGUUCUGUCCAUACUAAUUUCUCUUGGUCAGGGAAUUAUGCUUUGGAACCAUUUGUCUGAGGUUUUGUGCAAACCAGUCCUUCCCUUCAGACACAGAAAUGUAACUCCAGAACAAAACACGGGCUGUGCUAGGCAACAGGUGUGGAGCCAGUGGAUCCUAUUUUAAAGUGCUGGGUGGAUAGUGGUGAAGUAUCAAACCAGGGAAGGAUUUGCUGUUUUGGAGCUGAGCCCUCGCUAGUGGCAGAUGUAAAAGUUUAGCAAACCUUUGGCUGCUACCAUUUCAUAACAAAAUCAAACUAUUCUAUUUUCUGGUUCCUAACAUGGAGCAUGCAGAGCACACGUUUUUCUGUUGGAGCCAUAGUUCUAAAAUGUACUUUAUGAAAUGUAUUCUGUAUAGAGAUCAUUAUAUUAUACAUUUAACAAGACCAAGAUGGUGACAACUUGCCCCUAGCACAUGACGAGCUAAUGGGAGCAGUCUAGCAUGCCCCCUUUUAAAGUAGUGUCCUUCUGUGCACUGGAGAAGGUCCCUCCGAAAUUAGCCCAGGGGUAGUUCCCUUGGUGGGAUAUGGACUCCCAGCUUUUUUGCGAAUAUUGAGCUCUCUGUGGUAGCAGGAAAGGAAACCCCCCGUUCCUGUGCUUUUCCCCCAUGUGCAGUAGUACACAGCUCUCAAGGAUGUUGGUGGGAAAGCUUGGGUCAGAUGAUCUACAGAGGGAGACGGGUCACCUCUGUCCAGGCAAUACGUGAGCCAACCACAGACAAAGGAGAGCAUGCGGCCACGAGGCUGCUCUUCUUGUCAACCUCAGUGAUCAGCUUACACCAGAGGUAGCCAAAUCCAGAUGGCUGGAUGCUUUAGAACAGAUGCCAGAAUCUUUUAAUUUAUUUAUUAUCAUUAUUAUUGUUCUUCUUAAAAUUAUUUUCUCUGGAGUCUAGACCUUGACUAUACCUUAACCAAGAAAUUUUGGACCUUGACAAAAAAUAAUUGAUUGUCCCUGGGUUAUACCAUAGUUUGGGUGUGGCCAGACUGAAGUAGGAUAAUUCUCUUUAGCUCACUCGUUUCCAGAAUGCACCUAAAUCGUGUUGUGAUUCUUGAAUAAUAAUAAUAAAUCUUGACAGGUGGUAGCUAGAUGUUACUGCAAGUGGAUGACGGCAAAUAGAUGAAUGAAGGUGUACAGACCCAGAAGCAAAGCUUUGGUAUAGACUGGCUCAUCAUCUGUAGACCCUUCUAUUCAGGUCUGUAAAGAUGCCGCUUCAUCUUUUGCCAUUCAGUAGCAUUUGCAGGAAGAUCUGAAAGUUGCUGCUGUUCUCUGUACAGGGAGAUAAUGGCAAUACUCAAGCUUUGCUGAGUAAUUUUUACAAGCGUCUUGUGAACACAAAAAACACAUCCUUCCCUAAUGAACAAGCCAAGAUGUAUAGCUAAUACCUGGAAACUUGCAAAUGGCCAUGCACCAAAUUCAAAGCAUGAUCUCUCUCUUUUUUUCCAGUAGAAUUGCACCAUCCCUUUUUACUGUCAAAAUUGCCUGGCUGUAAAAUUAUUAAUGUUGCUGUCCACAAGUGUACAUUUGCAAUAGAUCUCUUGUCUGCAGUAAAGUGCCAAUUAAUGACCAUCCUGACUGCAAAUCUGUUUCCACUGCAUCCCUCGUGCAGUCUCUUCCCUCCCAGAGGCAGGAAGAAGAACUUUUUGCAUUGACUACUAUCAGGAUUGCUUUGUACAGUGUAUGUAACUGCCAUCUGCAUAAAUUUUAUAUGUACAAUAAUUUCCCUUUUAUAUGUCAGGUAAAUAUUUGUAAGAGUUGUACUCACACAAAUGAGAUUAUAAUAAUGAUUACUAAUAUAUUUUUUCCAUGUUUCAUUGCCUGAAUAAAAACUGUAUUUACCA